rnacentral:rRNA from 1 species
GGGCCCGCACAAGCGGUGGAGCAUGUGGUUUAAUUCGAAGCAACGCGCAGAACCUUACCCAGGCUUGACAUCCUCAGAACCUCUUGGAAACAAGAGGGUGCCCUCUCACGAGGGAAUUGAGUGACAGGUGCUGCAUGGCUGUCGUCAGCUCGUGCUGUGAGGUGUUCGGUUAAGUCCGGCAACGAGCGCAACCCCUGUCGCUAGUUACCAGCAUUUAGUUGGGGACUCUAGCGAGACUGCCGGUGAUAAACCGGAGGAAGGUGGGGACGACGUCAAGUCCUCAUGGCCCUUAUGUCUGGGGCUACACACGUGCUACAAUGGCAUCUACAGAAGGCAGCGAAGUCGCAAGGCGGAGCA